UACGAAGGGGGCUAGCGUUGCUCGGAAUCACUGGGCGUAAAGCGCACGUAGGCGGAUUGUUAAGUCAGGGGUGAAAUCCUGGAGCUCAACUCCAGAACUGCCUUGAUACUGGCGAUCUUGAGUCCGGGAGAGGUGAGUGGAACUCCGAGUGUAGAGGUGAAAUUCGUAGAUAUUCGGAAGAACACCAGUGGCGAAGGCGGCUCACUGGCCCGGUACUGACGCUGAGAUGCGAAAGCGUGGGAGCAACAGG
rnacentral:rRNA from 1 species